UAGUUGGUGAGGUAAAGGCUCACCAAGGCUACGAUCAGUAGCUGGUCUGAGAGGAUGACCAGCCACAUUGGGACUGAGACACGGCCCAAACUCCUACGGGAGGCAGCAGUGGGGAAUCUUGCGCAAUGGGCGAAAGCCUGACGCAGCCAUGCCGCGUGAAUGAUGAAGGUCUUAGGAUUGUAAAAUUCUUUCACCGGGGACGAUAAUGACGGUACCCGGAGAAGAAGCCCCGGCUAACUUCGUGCCAGCAGCCGCGGUAAUACGAAGGGGGCUAGCGUUGCUCGGAAUUACUGGGCGUAAAGGGAGCGUAGGCGGACAUUUAAGUCAGGGGUGAAAUCCCAGAGCUCAACUCUGGAACUGCCUUUGAUACUGGGUGUCUUGAGUGUGAUAGAGGUAUGUGGAACUCCGAGUGUAGAGGUGAAAUUCGUAGAUAUUCGGAAGAACACCAGUGGCGAAGGCGACAUACUGGAUCAUUACUGACGCUGAGGCUCGAAAGCGUGGGGAGCAAACAGGAUUAGAUACCCUGGUAGUCCACGCCGUAAACGAUGAUUGCUAGUUGUCGGGGUGUUUACAUCUCGGUGACGCAGCUAACGCAUUAAGCAAUCCGCCUGGGGAGUACGGUCGCAAGAUUAAAACUCAAAGGAAUUGACG
rnacentral:rRNA from 1 species